CAGCCACCCCAGGUGUCUGUCCCAGAGCUGCCCCUAAGCCUGACCUCUGAGGGGCCUUGCAGGGAACCCAGCAGCCAGGUGGACUUUUCCAGCUCUGGAUGAAUGUGAACAGGGCCAUGCCUGGGGCCGAGUCAUCGCUUGCUCACCGACCUUCGGGAUCCUCCACCUGAGGGCCAGAAUGCUCUCCGGUGCUCGAGCCCUGUUAGGACUGCGGCAUAGGACAGCACGAUGCGGGACACCUCAGCCACACUCCCAGGUCACACAGAAUGCACAGCGCAGCUCAGGCUCCAUGCCGGUGUCCAGGCCCGAGCUCUGUGGCUUCCCCUGUCCUCUGUCUGCUCUUCCCCAGGACAGCGGCAGCCACCUGGACCUCCGUGGCCCUGACCACUGGGCUGUGAUGGAGGUGACGCGUGUCACUCUAGGCCACAGCCUGUGAGUGCUGGUGUCUAGCCCUCUGUUCUCUCCUUUCUUCUGGUGGUGGCCACAGAGGCCGUGGCUUGAAAUGGGGAGGCCCCGGGGCUUGGAUGGCCGGGCCAUCACACCAGGCACAGCGUGGUGCCUCACAGACUUCUGUUCACAAACUGCACAGCGCUUCCCAGGGAAGGUGGCACAGGACUGUCCACAACACAGCUGCAAGGCCAGGCCGAGCAUAGCGAGGGUCGGCCCCAGCCCUGGCCUCCUGGUCCUGCUUUCCUCCACCUGCACUGAGCUUGCCCCGUGGCUGUCCCUGUCUCCACCCCAGUGGCCAUGUCCAGAUGGCAGCUGCGGGGCUCUGAA
rnacentral:lncRNA from 1 species